GUGAACCUGUUCUUGGAGAAACUCAAUAAAAACAUGAUUGACUUACAACUCCGUGUGUUUCACAUAGCGUUCCUAAAGAAAGCAACAGAAUCAUUUAUAAAGUACAAUAAGAAUAAGACAGUGAUUGUUGGAAAUAGUUUGCAAAAUUUAAACGACUUUAUAAACACAAGAAUUGCGGAAUUUGGCAAACCAAACGUGGUGCUUUAUAUUAGCCCCUUCCCGAUAGCCACACCGAAUGCGGAUGGUAUAAAGAAUGUAUAUGCAUCAGG